GAACACAGGAAGUCAAUAGAAAAACAUCAACAAAACCAAAAAGCUUGUUCAGCUUUAGUCAAAUUAACUUCAAAAAGGAAAAUAUGCAAAUUGUUAUCAGAAAUAAAAGAGGGGACAUUACUAUCUGUAUCAGGGAAUUAAAAUGAUAACCAUAGAAUAUUAUAAUUUUCUAUGCCUAUAAUUUGAUAACUUAGAUGAAAUCGACCAACACUUUGAAAGACACAAUCUGCCAAAACUCACAUUAGAAGAAAUGGAAAUUUCAAUGAAUUCUCAUUUAUUAAAGUUAUUUAAAAAAUGGUUACUAACAUGCCAUUCCAAAACAAAAGGCACUGGAUUCAUAAGGCUCACUGGCAAAUUCUACCAAGCAUGUAAGAUAAAAAUUAUACCAAUUCUCUACAAUCUUUUUCAGAAGAUAAAAGCAGAGGAAACAUUUUAACUCAUUUUAUGAAGCCAGUAUUACUGUAACACCAAAACCAGACAUUAAAGAAAGAAAACUUCAGACCUAUAUCUCCCAUAAACAUAAAUGCAAGAAUUCUCAACAAAAUGUUAGCAUAUAACGUCAACCAACAAAAAGAAUUAUGCACCACAACUAUAUGGGAUUUUACCUAAGUAUGGAAGACUGGUUCAAUAUUAGAAAGUCAAUUAAUGCAAUCACAUGAAAAGGCUAAAGGAUAAAAUCAUAUGAUCAUAUAAAUAGAUUCAGGAAAAACAUUUGAUAAAAGACCACAUACAUUCAUAACAAAAACUAGAAGAUUUUCUAUAAGAC
rnacentral:lncRNA from 1 species